GGAGAGGUCCCAGGGGGGUGUUGUGGGAGGGGGCUUUGUGGGGGUUCGGACAGGCCCUGCUGCUGCAGCUCUGGGGGUGUCGCGGGUGCCGGGUCUCUGCAGGCAGCGCUCGGUGGCCCCGGGGGUGUCUCUGGUUUGCAGGAGCCCUCCGGGCUGCGUGGGAGCGGGCGUGGAGGGGGAUACUGAGGGGAAGGACGGGUCCCCUGGCCGAGGGAGCGGGGCUGACGCCGCAGCGUGUCUGCAGUGACACUGGCGUGUCCGGGAGGCAGCUCAGAGACAUGUGGCCUGAAGCGGGGACUUUGGGGGAGAGAAAGGCCGCCAGCAGGAGUUGGUAGUCCCUCAGUGGCUGGGAAAUAAGGGCUAGUGCUGUCUGAGAAGAACAGGGACUUCAGGGAGAGGAACGAGCUCUGUUCUGUCAGAGGCGGCGGCCGGUUCCUCUUCUGCUUUGCUGCGCGGCUGCCUGUUCGCUUCCAGCAAGAGCACAAGUGCCUGAAGGGCCGUUUCCCUUGCUCUGCGAUAUCAACAUCGCCGUGAAUUUCAGAUCUCAGAGGGAUUGAAGUGCCCCACACUGUGCUUCUGCAGCCUCUCGAAGCUGCUUACUUCAACUUCACCUCUGCCACCGUCACGUACCCGGCACAGGAGGGCGGGCGGGUGAUGGUUGUUUCAGGAGUGCUCCUGGGCAGGGAGGAAUCCUGGCUCAGCGCGAGUUUGACAGGAGGGUCUCGCCUCGCUUUGUCUGGACCGGGUCGUUUUUUUGGCGCGAUGACCCUGCCCUCCGUCGGGAUGCUGCUGCUGCUGCUCUGAUACUCCAGCAGGAGGAAUUGUGACACCCCCAGCACCAAAAAGAACUGAGCAAAAGCUGCAGGGCGCCAGGCCAGCGCUCGGGAGGGAGCCGACGUUAACCCACGAGGGGCUGCAGGUGUGUUUGGAUCAGCAACAGCCCGCAAAAACGCUGCCAGGGCUGCGCUUCGGCCCUGUCACCUCCAUGGCAGCGGUGUGUUGCCUCCUCCCUUUUAAAAAAAAAAGAGGAAAACACACCGAAAAGCCCCCCCGCCGAACCCCACUGCGUAUUCAGAGCAGAGUGCCCUCGCCCUGUUGUGGAUAAGCUGGGGUGAAGUGUGACACGAAGGUGUUAACG